rnacentral:rRNA from 1 species
CCUACGGGUGGCAGCAGUGGGGAAUAUUGGGCAAUGGGCGCAAGCCUGACCCAGCAACGCCGCGUGAAGGAAGAAGGCUUUCGGGUUGUAAACUUCUUUUCUCAGGGACGAAGCAAGUGACGGUACCUGAGGAAUAAGCCACGGCUAACUACGUGCCAGCAGCCGCGGUAAUACGUAGGUGGCAAGCGUUAUCCGGAUUUACUGGGUGUAAAGGGCGUGUAGGCGGGAAAGCAAGUCAGAUGUGAAAACCAUGGGCUCAACCUGUGGCCUGCAUUUGAAACUGUUUUUCUUGAGUACUGGAGAGUCAGAAGGAAUUCCUAGUGUAGCGGUGAAAGGCGUAGAGAUUAGGAGGAACACCAGUGGCGAAGGCGGUCUGCUGGACAGCAACUGACGCUGAGGCGCGAAAGCGUGGGGAGCAAACAGGAUUAGAUACCCCGGUAGUC